CAGUUGUCAAGCUCUAACCAACUGAGCUACAGAGUCCAGUUGUCGAGCUCUAACCAACUGAGCUACAGAGUCCAGUUGUCGAGCUCUAACCAACUCAGCUACAGAGUCAAGUUGUCAAGCUCUAACCAAACUGAGCUACAGAGUCCAGUUGUCAAGCUCUAACCAACUGAGCUACAGAGUCCAGUUGUCAAGCUCUAACCAACUGAGCUACAGAGUCCAGUUGUCGAGCUCUAACCGGAAAUUCAUGUGCCACUUGGGUGGUGCCAAUGUAAGGUGUAUGGGUGAAUAGGGCAGCAGGUUCGAUUCCUGUCAGGGAGUCUGGCUAUAUGUGGGUCUCGUUUUGGUAUUAUUGAGUUGAAGCGACGUUUUUCUCAACACGAACGUCACCUGAAAAUUGGUAGAACUAAUUUUGGCGCCAUUUUGCAUCAUAACUGAGCUACAGAGUCCAGUUGUCAAGCUCUAACCAACUGAGCUACAGAGUCCAGUUGUCGAGCUCUAACCGGAAAUUCAUGUGCCACUUGGGUGGUGCCAAUGUAAGGUGUAUGGGUGAAUAGGGCAGCAGGUUCGAUUCCUGUCAGGGAGUCUGGCUAUAUGUGGGUCUCGUUUUGGUAUUAUUGAGUUGAAGCGACGUUUUUCUCAACACGAACGUCACCUGAAAAUUGGUAGAACUAAUUUUGGCGCCAUUUUGCAUCAUAGCGCUCGUGUGAGAAAGCAGGAAAGUUUAAAAAUCUUUUGUCAUACAGUAUGUGUUGAAGAUUACCACAAACUGACACAAACACAGUUUUUAAUCCAGUCCCCUCUCGACAAUCUGACGUCCAUGUUGACAAAAACGUCGCUUGCUUAAGCUCGCUAUUAAUUAGAGGAAAAUAGGUUGAAAAUUGUAAAAAAAAUCAAGCUCUUUAUAACGUAUUCGGGUUUGGAUACUUCGACAUUUUUCUCCCAGUCUAAGAGUGUCUUGAAUUGGGCGUAUAGUUAGUUGUUAUGGCAUGUAAUUUUACAUAUAUAUUCACUAUUAUUAUACUAUAUAGCUAAUUCACAUUAUUAAUUAAAGAUAGCUUACAUGCAUGAGUAAGCAAAUAGUUUUAAAGAUGAAGUAGUCCCACUACUAACGUAGCGGACAUGACUCGGCGUGGCUUUGGACGAUUUGUGGUUUGCUGAAACUUGCUUGAAAUUAACGAACUAUAUUGCGUAUAGGGAAAACGAGUCGUAGUUUUGUACUUUCUUCCCCUAGCAGAGCGUAUAAAAGCCUGAGCACAACUAGACAAUUCAUGUAUUAUUCAUAAGGUGAAAACCUGAUGGUAGCAACGCAGUGAAGAAAGCCGCAAAUAAUAAAGAAAUUAUAAGUUAAAGAAAGAAUUAAAAGGAAUGUUCAAAGACAAAGACGAAGUUAUUAAAGAAUUGUCAUGAAUUGAAGAGUUGUACUCAGUCUUGCUCAGUCGUGAAAUGAGACAAGUUUCAACGAAUAUUAAGCAUUAUAUAUAGAUAUUAAGGAAAGUUGCAAACGCUAAUUAUUGAGCAAUAUAUAUAAGGGAAGCGUCACACAUCGAUUUUGUCCACGAGAAACGUCCUAUGGACGUCCCUCUGGAGACAACCCCCCCCCCCGCUUUAGAAACGUCACA